GACGUAGGGCGCGAGCGUUGUCCGGAUUUAUUGGGCGUAAAGAGCUCGUAGGCGGCUUGUUGCGUCAGCUGUGAAAACCCGCAGCUCAACUGUGGGCUUGCAGCUGAUACGGGCAGGCUUGAGUUCGGUAGGGGAGACUGGAAUUCCUGAGUGUAGCGGUGAAAUGCGCAGAUAUCAGGAGGAACACCGGUGGCGAAGGCGGGUCUCUGGGCCGAUACUGACGCUGAGGAGCGAAAGCGUGGGGAGCGAACAGG
rnacentral:rRNA from 1 species